CCAAGGUUCGCGCCGAGCGUAGCGAGACAACGACGCGCAGCGGCGGCCCGAAGGGCGAGGAACGAAGUGACGAGUAAUCCUUCCCCCACCACCA
rnacentral:sRNA from 1 species